GCAAUUUGAAUCAGCAGAACUUUGUGGAGGAUAAGAGAACUCAGCAAGUACAAGGGAGCUUGUUCACAAUGCCACAAACUCAAAACUCGAGUCCCUCUGCUUCAUUUAGGCGGCAGGGUAAUCCUGUUAGAGAUGGCCGGAAUAGUACUUCAACUUCUAAUUGGAAAAGCUUCCCAGGCAAGGACUUCAAAAAGAAUCCAAAGAAAGAGGCAUCAAAAUUGGGAUAUCAAAAGUCCCAGUUCCAUCAUAUGAAUAAUAGAAAGAGAAUGUUUGGGUUCUCUAAUGAGCAUAAGGGAAAAGGGUAUCGCUAUGAAAGGGCAACUAAAUAUGGUCGCACUAAUCCUAUUGAGCAGACUAUGGAAAACAAAAGGUCUCUUGCUUUGAUCUAUACGGAACAAGAAAUCAAACAAUGGCGUGAAGAACGAAGGAAGAACUACCCAUCAAAAGCAAACAUUGAGAAGAAGGGCAAUGAAAGACUAACAAACUCUGGAGUUUUCAAUAAAGAGGCCAAACAACGUCGAGAGCAACUCAAGGAAAUAUUGGCAAAGCAGGCUGAGUUGGGAGUUGAAGUUGCAGAAAUACCAUCACACUAUUUGUCAGAUUCAGAGAAACAAGUAAAUGAAAGGGAAGAUAAUAGAAUGUUUGUCACUAAAAAAGGUAGAUUCUUGAACAAGCGUGACAGAAGGGGAAGAUAUAACAGAAAUGAUCGGUUGGCCAAGCAGCAAACAUUAGCAAACAAGGAUUCAUCUAAUAUGUCUUCCUUCAACGAAAGGAAGCCAACACUUUUGCAGAAGCUUCUGAGUGCAGACAUAAGGAAAGAUAAGCACCACUUGUUGCAGGUUUUUAGGCUCAUGGUGGCAAACUCUUUCUUUGAUGAUUGGCCGGAGAAGCCUUUGAAAUUUCCUUUGGUAGUAGUUAAAGAAUAUGGUAGGGAGGACGAUGAGCAGGUAGCUGAAAAUUCCUCAAUUACUGGGAAGGUGGUUAAUGAAGUUAGGAAGAAGACAAUAGCUGAAAAUAUUGACCAUGUCGGUGCUGCUGAUGAUGACGAUGGUGAUGAAAGAGUGGAACAAAAGACACGUUAUGCUGGGGGUAAAUUUAGUCUUGUUAAGGAAAUUGACAAAACUGAAGAAGAGGAGGGAGAAAUCAUCGACUAAGAUUGCUUCUCUUGUUCCUAGUGCCAAGCAUUGUGUUAUAGAAACUAUUUCUUUGCUUAUUUAUUAUUUUUCCCUUAAAGUUUGGACGCGGCGUGUCAACUAUAUGAAUUAGGUUGAAGCAAAAGAACAGUUUUGAAUGAGAUUGGGACAUGAAAAGCUGCUCAGUAGGUAAUUGGAGAGUGGUAGAAAUAACAGAGAAUCCUCCUUUCCUACUAAACUAGUGUUUUCUUCUGCUUUUU
rnacentral:misc_RNA from 1 species